GUUGGUCUGAAAAUCAUGUUGGCGUGAACCAACAUCAAGCACAGUUGUUAAGUAUGUGAUCCACAGUUGUUCAGUUGUAGAACAGGAACCAGUCUCUUAAAGUGAAUACCUACUCUUUUCUAAAUCUGUCAAGACUGGGAAAGUUGCAUGGUAUUUCCACAGCUUUGAGAGGUUGCUAAGAGCAACAGUGAGUCUGGCAGAACAGACUUCUUUGGGAUCUUCAGGAGGAGAUCAAGCCAAGACAAACUGUAACUGUGGAGGGUUAGCCAAAGGGGAAGUUGCCUUAGGAAUGAGUCCAAUGGUAACAGCGGUCUGACUGAGCAAAGAUUCGCCAGGAGGUUAGCCAGGGAAAGGACAUAUUAAGACAGUCAUUACCAAGGUUUACACCAAGUGGAAGGGACCUGAUGCCUGCCGAGGCCACUGAGGAGAGUGUUUCCUGAAGAUGAAGAAGAGAGUGUGAAGCAGAGAGAGAGAAGAGCAGCUGCAGGUCGCAAAAAACUCAGACAUGUGACUGUUGCCUUUAUGUGAGGGAACAAAAGGGCAUGAGCCUUGCAAAGGGCAGAAGACAAUAGUGACUGAAGUAAAGUGAUGAUUCCUGCCAUCGUAGUG